rnacentral:lncRNA from 1 species
AUGUUCAUCGCCUGUUUUAAGAGGGAGAGGGAGCAGAUGAAGAGGUGCCGGAAUGUUGGCAUCUGUGCUCACAUUGGGUCGAAGCGUCUCAGUCCCUGGAGCCGAGGGAAGGUGUGGGCACCUGGAGGAAAAACCAGGGUGAUGCUCCGUGACCCGCAGUCACCUCAGGGACGGGGGAGAAGCGGGAGGGCCGCUGUUUGUACGUCCUUGAUUCCCCGUGGUGUGUUUCUGCAGACUCGGUGGUGGAGAGCAGCAACAGCCACCAGGACGAGGAGGCUGCAGAAUCUUGCUUUGGGAGGAAAGGAUCUUGCUUCAGGAGCCUGAGGAUAAGUUUGUCCUCUGCGAGCUUGGCUAGACUAAUCCCCUGGUGGCCGCACAACAGGGUGCACCCAGCCACUGAGCCAGAUGAAGGUACUGUGGAACCUGACUCAGUACACUCAGGCAUGAACGAUGAUUCUGGUUCAUUCAGUGCUCCAGAUUUCAGAACAAACUCUACAGGUGCUAAGCCGUAUCUCUCUUCUAGUGCAUGGUGCAAAUUCAAAUGAACUAACUCGGAGUUCCGGUCGUGGCGCAGUGGUUAAGGACUCCGACUAGGAACCAUGAGGUUGCGAGUUGGAUCUCUGGCCUUGCUCAGUGGGUUAAGGAUCCGGGGUUGCCGUGAGCUGUGGUGUUGGCCACAGAUGCGGUUCGAAUCCCGAGUUGCAGUGGCUGUGGCGUAGGCCAGUGGCUACAACUCUGAUUAGACCCCUCUCCUGGGAGCCUGCGCAUGCCAAGGGAAGCGGGCCUAGAAAAGGCAAAAUGACCAAAACCCAACCAACCAACCAAAACCCAAAUUGAAUCACUCCCUGGGCACUUUCACAACCAUGAAAAUAAUGGUUCGUUUAAACUCAACAUUUGGUUCCUGGUUAAUAGCAGAGAUGCCCUCACUCAUGUUUUGACAUUUGCUAAUAGUUGAUAUUUGGGCUAGUUGUGCUGGAUCCCUCCACGGAACCACAUUUCCCAACUUGAAAACAAUACUAGACGCGAUUUAGAACAAGGUCAUAUGAACAAGACAUGGUGAACAGAUAUCACAGAGAGCUCCCGUAAGCCAUUCCUCCAAUGUCCACCAUUGACAACGUCCAGCACGGAAUGGGGAACAUGUGGUGCCCUGAGCGGCAAAAGAGUCAUACCAUUUUAGUCAGUGAGAAGUUCCCCGUUUACAUUCAGAUUCAUUUUUUGUGCUGUGACGUGAGUUGAGGUUGGACACCUGCACAAUGUUAGGAGUCCCUGGUAUGUUAUUACCAUAGAGGACGUGUACACUGCCGUUUGUAGCAGCGGGUUAUUC